rnacentral:rRNA from 1 species
GACGAACGCUGGCGGCGUGCUUAACACAUGCAAGUCGAGCGACGCUCUUCCUUCGGGGAGAUGACGGAGCGGCGAACGGGUGAGUAACACGUGGGCAACCUGCCCCUAGCUCUGGGACAACACCGGGAAACCGGUGCUAAUACCGGAUACGACAUCGAGCGGCAUCUCUCGAUGUGGAAAGUUUUUUCGGCUAGGGAUGGGCCCGCGGCCUAUCAGCUUGUUGGUGGGGUAAUGGCCCACCAAGGCGACGACGGGUAGCCGGCCUGAGAGGGCGACCGGCCGAACUGGGACUGAGACACGGCCCAGAAUCCUACGGGAGGCAGCAGUGGGGAAUAUUGCGCAAUGGGCGAAAGCCUGACGCAGCGACGCCGCGUGAGGGAUGACGGCCUUCGGGUUGUAAACCUCUUUCAGCAGGGACGAAUUCAGACGGUACCUGCAGAAGAAGCACCGGCCAACUACGUG